GAUGAAGAACGCAGUGAAAUGCGAUACGUAAUGUGAAUUGCAGAAUUCAGUGAAUCAUCGAAUCUUUGAACGCAUAUUGCGCUCUCUGGUAUUCCGGAGAGCAUGCUUGUUUGAGUAUCAGUAAACACCUCAACUUCCAUAUCUUUUUUGAAAUGGGAGUUGGACUUGAGUGAUCCCAACGCUUUUCCUCACCGAAAAGUGGCGGGUUACUUGAAAUGCAGGUGCAGCUGGACUUUUCUCUGAGCUAUAAGCAUAUCUAUUUAGUCUGCCUAAAAAACAGAUUAUUACCUUUGCUGCAGCUAACAUAAAGGAGAUUAGUUCUUGUGCUGACUGAUGCAGGAUUCACAAAAACGGCUUCGGCCGACUUUGUAAACUCGAUCUCAAAUCAAGUAAGACUACCCGCUGAACUUAAGCAUAUCAAUAAGCGGAGGA
rnacentral:misc_RNA from 1 species